CUUGGAAGGACAAACUUGCACCUGGACUCAAUCAACGCUGAUUGGAGAGUGGCAGCAUGCCCACAUUCACACUCGCAGCUGACACACCAUGCAGUUCUGCACAGUGGAGGCUAAUAAUCAAACUCUACUAGACUUGUAACUAAUGUAAAUGCCUUCACUUCAUAUUUAACUUGCAAACAUCCAGAAGCAUGAUACGACAUCAGUUGAGCAGGAAGCCGCUGCAUGAGCAAGAGCUUUAGAUCUCUCGUCUGUGGAUGUGUUGGCAUGCAGACCGGUUUUGGCUCAGUUUUGGGAUGAUGUCAACGCCUUCAGCAGAUGCUAUUGCAUCACAUAAAAAAAGAUGCAUUGCUGCAGAUCUUCCUCUCACUCCUAACGUGUGCAUUCUGGCCACGGGCAACAACUUCACAUCCAGUCCUGUCACUGAUAUGGCAACCGAGGAUUCUGGGAGCGCUCCCAAAGCUGCGUUGCAUCGCUUGACAAAAGGUGUGACACCCCAGUGGAGACCCAGCAGUCUGUGUGGCGGCAGAGGAGCAGCAUGGAGCGGCUAUUUUUACCUGAAGCCCAGGAGUGAGCUCCACACAGAAGGUGAAGCGGUGAGGAGAGUGGAAUUUGGGCAACGUUUGGGAAUGUGAAUUGGGUAACGUUAAUCAUCUGGACAGCAGAGACAUUAACUGUGCAUGAAGCUCGGUCUCUGGACAGUGUGUGUGUGUGUGUGUGUGUGUGUGUGUGUGUGUGUGUGUGUGUGUGUGUGUGUGUGUGUGUGUGUGAGAAUCAGAGAGAGUGGCGCGGUGUGUUUCUCUGUGCAUCUGGGGGAGAGGACAUACUGUAGUGUUUGUGUGCCUGUG
rnacentral:lncRNA from 1 species